UACUAGCACCCCGAGUGGUCGGGACGUUUAUUGGGCCUAAAGCAUCCGUAGCCGGUUCUACAAGUCUUCCGUUAAAUCCACCUGCUUAACAGAUGGGCUGCGGAAGAUACUAUGGAGCUAGGAGGCGGGAGAGGCAAGCGGUACUCGAUGGGUAGGGGUAAAAUCCGUUGAUCCAUUGAAGACCACCAGUGGCGAAGGCGGCUUGCCAGAACGCGCUCGACGGUGAGGGAUGAAAGCUGGGGGAGCAAACCGG
rnacentral:rRNA from 1 species